UGAGUCAUUGUGUUCUGGAGUGAGACGA
rnacentral:piRNA from 2 species